GGGCCGUAUUCACAAAGGAUCUUAGGGCUAAAAGUAGGUCCUAACUGGCGAAUUUAGGAGUAACUCCUAAAAAUAAUGGGCGUGUCACUCUUAAAUUUAGGACUCCUAACUUUUUUCACUAAGAGCAAUUCACAAAGUAUUUUAGGACUAAAAGUAGCACCUAAGUCUAGGAGAGCUUAAAAGUCCUCAAGAGGACUCCUAACUCAGUAAGACCUAUUCACAAAGAAUCUUAAAAUGCCUGCGAGACGAAAUGUUAGGGUAUUCAACUUAUUGUGGAGUUAAUGCGCGAUGCAAUAACAUCCCCGACUAACAGGAAUAAUCCGAUUAGUCCCGAAAUAAAAUGUUAUAAAAAUUAUAAGUUAUAAAAAAAUAUAUAUAACUUUUAAAAAAUUUAAAUAAUUGCGCCAUCAAAAGACGAGGACGUGUUCGUCAAUAGGAAGAAAGUGCAUUCCAUCAACACGCAGGUUGUUUUUGAUGCAAAUUUUAACAUAGCCUACUGGAUGUUGUUGCAAAGUGGCCUGGAUCUUCAGCUACCCAUGAUUCGCGCAUUUUAAUGGUGAGCGGUCUGAGGCAGCUUUUUGAGAUGUACCAGUUGGGUGUCACUUGCUGGGUGACAGUGACUAAUAUCCAUGCAAGACGUGGCUCUAGACACCCUACCUCAAUCCACAACCGGGAGCACAGUUAAAGUGUAACAUGUAAGUGAUUACGCAGAUUACGCUUAGUCCUAUGCGUAAAACACAUCGUAUUGGCUCUUUGCGAGCACACAAACAUACACGAAAUGUUGUGGAGAGAGGAAUUGGGCAGAUGAAACGUCGGUUGCAUGUCCUCCACGGCGAAAUACGCCUCACCCCAGAGAGGGCAAGCACAGUAAUCACUGUAUGUGCCAUUCUACACAACCUCUGCAAGCGGAGGAACAUUCCACAGCCAGACGAUGAUGAUGAUGAUGAUGAUGGCGAUCAACAUUACAAGGAAUUUGGCCGUGUGGAACCGAGUGGACAGGCAUUUAGGGAUCACAUUGAAAACACAUUUUAGGUAAACACCUUGGCACAAAUCAGUCAACACUUGGGUAGUUCGUAACAUUUAUUUUCUUUUAGAUUUUACGUAUUUUUAUUGUUUGCUUUCUCUCUCUCUUGAACGUGCAGGCUACAACGUCAUUAUCGUGGUCUGCACAAAAUUGUCAUCAUGCGUGUAUUCUGCUAACUGCACUAUAACUACUUAAUAGGAAUUCAUUUCUAGCCUAGGCUAUUUCCUUGUUUUUCGGUGAUUCAGUGGGCUCGUCUGAACAACCAAUCACCGAACUGACCGCUUCUAAACUCGUGCACGAGAAUUGACGUAAUCCAUAGCAACGGCGCGUCACUCUUAGUUCACUCUUUGUGAUUUAUCCUUAGUAAGAGUAGGUCUCAGCGGCUUUGUGAAUAACUUUUAAGAAAAAACUCCUACGUAAAAUGUUUUAGCGCGAGUUAGGAGCACUCCUAGCGGUAAGAUAAAAUGCUUUGUGAAUACGGCCCCAGGUCAACAGGAUAUCACGAGACCUGUUACAGCGGAAAUUUAUCCAAGCGCCGCACGGGGUUAAUUUCUUUUCAACACGCACAGCCCGGCGCACAGAAGCAUCCGGAGUCUCUGUGGACAGGCAUCGAGGCGCUGAAGAGCUCGCAGCACACGAGGCAGCUGACGUCCUCGCUGGAUAGGCCUAAAUAAAUUGGAGAUGUAGAGGCAGCAAUGGUGGUGAACUCUGCUGCCUCCGGAACAGGACAAACUAGGCCUAAGGUGGGGCUGACUCCAUCAGCGGGCCAGGUGAUGGUGGGAGGAGCAGCUGAGGUGGCACCAGGGGUGACUCCAGCAAGGGGGGCGGCAUCAGGAGCGGGCGAGAAGAGCCUCUUCUUGGGAGCCCGAGAGGAGGGAGGCUGCUUGGCGGGAUGACGCUGCUUCAGAGUUCGGGUCGCCCGGCCUUAGGGUAAGACCGGACGAUGUCCAGGCAGAAUUCGAGGGCAUCUUCCUCAGGCCAGACAGCUUCGUCAGGCCCGGCAACUCGUCCAG